CCUACGGGGGGCAGCAGUGGGGAAUAUUGGACAAUGGGCGAAAGCCUGAUCCAGCCAUGCCGCGUGUGUGAAGAAGGCCUUCGGGUUGUAAAGCACUUUCAGUGGGGAAGAAAGCCUUGGGGCUAAUACCCUCGAGGAAGGACAUCACCCACAGAAGAAGCACCGGCUAACUCCGUGCCAGCAGCCGCGGUAAUACGGAGGGUGCGAGCGUUAAUCGGAAUUACUGGGCGUAAAGCGCGCGUAGGCGGUCUGAUAAGCCGGUUGUGAAAGCCCCGGGCUCAACCUGGGAACGGCAUCCGGAACUGUCAGGCUAGAGUGCAGGAGGGGAAGGUAGAAUUCCCGGUGUAGCGGUGAAAUGCGUAGAGAUCGGGAGGAAUACCAGUGGCGAAGGCGGCCUUCUGGACUGACACUGACGCUGAGGUGCGAAAGCGUGGGUAGCAAACAGGAUUAGAUACCCUUGUAGUC
rnacentral:rRNA from 1 species